rnacentral:rRNA from 1 species
GUUUGGUUAAGUUAGAAAGGGCGCACGGUGGAUGCCUUGACACUAGGAGUCGAUGAAGGACGGGACUAACGCCGAUAUGCUUCGGGGAGCUGUAAGUAAGCUUUGAUCCGAAGAUUUCCGAAUGGGGAAACCCACCAUACGUAAUGGUAUGGUAUCCUUAUCUGAAUACAUAGGGUAAGGAAGACAGACCCAGGGAACUGAAACAUCUAAGUACCUGGAGGAAGAGAAAGCAAAUGCGAUUUCCUGAGUAGCGGCGAGCGAAACGGAACAUAGCCCAAACCAAGAGGCUUGCCUCUUGGGGUUGUAGGACAUUCUAUACGGAGUUACAAAGGAACGAGGUAGACGAAGCGACCUGGAAAGGUCCGUCGUAGAGGGUAACAACCCCGUAGUCGAAACUUCGUUCUCUCUUGAAUGUAUCCUGAGUACGGCGGAACACGUGAAAUUCCGUCGGAAUCUGGGAGGACCAUCUCC